UACAGAGGGGGCGAGCGUUGUUCGGAAUUACUGGGCGUAAAGGGCUCGUAGGCGGCCAACUAAGUCAGACGUGAAAUCCCCUCGGCUUAACCGGGGAACUGCGUCUGAUACUGGAUGGCUCGAGUUUGGGAGAGGGAUGCGGAAUUCCUGGUGUAGCGGUGAAAUGCGCAGAUAUCAGGAGGAACAGCCAAUGGCGAAAGCAGCUUUCUGGGACGGUACUGACGCUGAGACGCGAAAGCGUGGGAGCGAACAGG
rnacentral:rRNA from 1 species